rnacentral:rRNA from 1 species
UACGUAGGGUGCGAGCGUUGUCCGGAAUUAUUGGGCGUAAAGAGCUCGUAGGCGGCUUGUCGCGUCGGAUGUGAAAGCCCGGGGCUUAACCCCGGGUCUGCAUUCGAUACGGGCAGGCUAGAGUUCGGUAGGGGAGAUUGGAAUUCCUGGUGUAGCGGUGGAAUGCGCAGAUAUCAGGAGGAACACCGAUGGCGAAGGCAGAUCUCUGGGCCGUAACUGACGCUGAGGAGCGAAAGCAUGGGGAGCGAACAGG